UACGUAGGGUGCAAGCGUUGUCCGGAAUUAUUGGGCGUAAAGAGCUCGUAGGCGGUUUGUCGCGUCUGCUGUGAAAACUCGGGGCUUAACCCUGGGCCUGCAGUCGAUACGGGCGGGCUAGAGUUCGGUAGGGGAGACUGGAAUUCCUGGUGUAGCGGUGAAAUGCGCAGAGAUCCGGAGGAACACCAGUGGCGAAGGCGACACGCUGGGCCGUACCUGACACUGAUGCGCGACAGCAUGGGGAGCAAACAGG
rnacentral:rRNA from 1 species